AAUGGAGUGAGAAAUGAAGAUAUGCUUAAUGUCUUACUGUUAUGUUGAAGACAUCAGAUCCAACUCUGAUCUCAUUCCUAG
ensembl:snoRNA